UACGUAGGGGGCAAGCGUUGUCCGGAAUCAUUGGGCGUAAAGCGCGUGUAGGCGGCCCGGUAAGUCCGCUCUGAAAGUCCAGGGCUCAACCCUGGGAUGCGGGUGGAUACUGCCGGGCUCGAGUCCGGAAGAGGCGAGUGGAAUUCCCGGUGUAGCGGUGAAAUUCGUAGAUAGUCGGGAGGAACACCAGUGGCGAAGGCGGCGACCUGGGCCAAUAUUGACGCUGAGG
rnacentral:rRNA from 1 species